rnacentral:rRNA from 1 species
GAUGAACGCUGGCGGCGUGCCUAAUACAUGCAAGUCGAGCGAACGGACGAGAAGCUUGCUUCUCUGAUGUUAGCGGCGGACGGGUGAGUAACACGUGGAUAACCUACCUAUAAGACUGGGAUAACUUCGGGAAACCGGAGCUAAUACCGGAUGAUAUUUUGAACCGCAUGGUUCAAAAGUGAAAGACGGUCUUGCUGUCACUUAUAGAUGGAUCCGCGCUGCAUUAGCUAGUUGGUAAGGUAACGGCUUACCAAGGCAACGAUGCAUAGCCGACCUGAGAGGGUGAUCGGCCACACUGGGACUGAGACACGGUCCAGACUCCUACGGGAGGCAGCAGUAGGGAAUCUUCCGCAAUGGGCGAAAGCCUGACGGAGCAACGCCGCGUGAGUGAUGAAGGUCUUCGGAUCGUAAAACUCUGUUAUUAGGGAAGAACAUAUGUGUAAGUAACUGUGCACAUCUUGACGGUACCUAAUCAGAAAGCCACGGCUAACCACGUG